GACGAGCGCUGGCGGCGUGCUUAACACAUGCAAGUCGAACGGAAAGGCCCUGCUUUUGUGGGGUGCUCGAGUGGCGAACGGGUGAGUAACACGUGAGUAACCUGCCCUUGACUUUGGGAUAACUUCAGGAAACUGGGGCUAAUAACGGAUAGGAGCUCCUGCUGCAUGGUGGGGGUUGGAAAGUUUCGGCGGUUGGGGAUGGACUCGCGGCUUAUCAGCUUGUUGGUGGGGUAGUGGCUUACCAAGGCUUUGACGGGUAGCCGGCCUGAGAGGGUGACCGGCCACAUUGGUACUGAGGUACGGCCCAGACUCCUACGGGAGGCAGCAGUGGGGAAUAUUGCACAAUGGGCGGAAGCCUGAUGCAGCAACGCCGCGUGCGGGAUAGCGGCCUUCGGGUUGUAAACCGCUUUCGCCUGUGACGAAGCGUGAGUGACGGUAAUGGGUAAAGAAGCACCGGCUAACUACGUG
rnacentral:rRNA from 1 species